CCUACGGGUGGCUGCAGUGGGGAAUAUUGGACAAUGGGCGAAAGCCUGAUCCAGCCAUGCCGCGUGUGUGAAGAAGGCCUUCGGGUUGUAAAGCACUUUCAGUGGGGAAGAAAGCCUUGGGGCUAAUACCCUCGAGGAAGGACAUCACCCACAGAAGAAGCACCGGCUAACUCCGUGCCAGCAGCCGCGGUAAUACGGAGGGUGCGAGCGUUAAUCGGAAUUACUGGGCGUAAAGCGCGCGUAGGCGGUCUGAUAAGCCGGUUGUGAAAGCCCCGGGCUCAACCUGGGAACGGCAUCCGGAACUGUCAAGCUAGAGUGCAGGAGAGGAAGGUAGAAUUCCCGGUGUAGCGGUGAAAUGCGUAGAGAUCGGGAGGAAUACCAGUGGCGAAGGCGGCCUUCUGGACUGACACUGACGCUGAGGUGCGAAAGCGUGGGUAGCAAACAGGAUUAGAUACCCCUGUAGUC
rnacentral:rRNA from 1 species